GACGGAAGGUGCAAGCGUUGCUCGGAAUCACUGGGCGUAAAGGGUGCGUAGGCGGCUUGGUAAGUUGGGUGUGAAAGCCCCGGGCUCAGCCCGGGAAGGGCACUCGAAACUGCCGAGCUGGAGUGCCGGAGGGGAGAGUGGAAUUCCUGGUGUAGCGGUGAAAUGCGUAGAUAUCAGGAGGAAUACCGAUGGCGAAGGCAGGUCUCUGGGCUGACACUGACGCUCAUGCACGAAAGCGUGGGGAGCAAACAGG
rnacentral:rRNA from 1 species